rnacentral:misc_RNA from 1 species
CAGAGUUGCAAAACUCCCACAAACCAUCGCGAAUCUUACCCGUACGGUUGCCUCGGCGCUGGCGGUCCGGAAGGCCCUCGGGCCCCCCGGAUCCUCGGGUCUCCCGCUCGCGGGAGGCUGCCCGCCGGAGUGCCGAAACCAAACUCUUGAUAUUUUAUGUCUCUCUGAGGUAAACUUUUAAAUAAGUC